AUUUACCUUUAAUUACUCCAUCAUUAACAAAUUAUUGCCCAAUGCAAUUUGAAAGCCAAUAAAACAAAAAAAAAAAGCCAAAAGCGUCAUCUUCCUCAAACUAACACUACCGAUAGAACAGUACUGCACCACCCGUCUAAAAUUUGCACCAAAAUUCAAUCGCCGGAAACCGUCGAGUUACCUUGCCGGCCAAUUCGUCUGCCAGUGGAGUCGGGUUUGUCGUCCAAUUACGUCUUCGCUGGUCUCUUAAUUUCGUCUGCUAUUUGUUCGAUUACCAGCACCACGCCCCAGCGACGCCACCACGCCCCAGCGACGCCACCACGCCAUAGCGAUGUGAUUCGUCCGCCAGUAUCCAGGGUCCUCGUCAACACCAAGAAUCUCAUGACUGUGGAUAUUAUGUGUGCCGCCGAUAUAUGCUCGAGACUGUAGAGAAAAGGCGACAAGCAAUUCCUGAUAAGUACUUUGGUGGAGUUACAACUGAAUUUUCUCAAAUUAAGCUUGAUGAGCUCAGAGACUUGUGGAUCAAAUAUGUGGAUGAAUAUAAACAAGUGGAUGAAGAAGAAUUGAAAGAUAAUGACCAUUUUAAUUAGGAUGUGUGUAUUUUCUUUUUGCGCGGGAUUAGGGAGGUACUUCUAUAUAUUUUUGUGCACAUGAAUUGGAAGAAACGACAGGCCUAGGUGUUCUAUUAUUUUUUUAUAACUUAGUUGAAUUUUUGGAAUCUUUUAAACAUUAUAUGUGAUUUUGUAGUGAAUGAUAUUAAAUGAAUGAAAAAGUAUUCCAAUGUUAAAGUCA